GAAAUGCGAUAAGUAAUGUGAAUUGCAGAAUUCAGUGAAUCAUCGAAUCUUUGAACGCACCUUGCGCUCCUUGGUAUUCCUUGGAGCAUGCCUGUUUGAGUAUCAUGAAAUCUUCAAAGUAAAUCUUUUGUUAACUCAAUUGGUUUCUACUUUGGUAUUGGAGGUCUUUGCAGCUUCACACCUGCUCCUCUUUGUUCAUUAGCUGGAUCUCAGUGUUAUGCUUGGUUCCACUCGGCGUGAUAAGUUAUCUAUCGCCGAGGACACUGUAAAAGGUGGCCAAGGUAGAUGCAGAUGAACCGCUUCUAAUAGUCCAUUGACUUGGACAAUACUUUUAUGAUCUGAUCUCAAAUCAGGUAGGACUACCCGCUGAACUUAAGC
rnacentral:misc_RNA from 1 species